rnacentral:lncRNA from 1 species
GGUGGCAGACCCUGCGGUUCAGAGAACACAUCAGCAUACUCCUCUAGUAUAGAUGAUAACUGUACACUCUCAAUGCUUCCAGAAUCCUUUGGAGUAACCAGGUAAAUCUCUUCAAUUUUUGACAUAUGCCUGUGUGUCAUUGAGUGUAGCAUAGCUCCCGUGAUAAGCUGGCACUCAGUAGUGGGAGUGAUUGCUUGCAUCUUAACCUUCUUGCCAUCCACAUGGACUGUGCAGGACAUUUUCUUGUAGUCCAAGAGUAUGGGAGUGCAGUAUUCCAACCAAUCGCUGCCUAAAAUGAUAUCAUAUCCUUUAUGCUCCAGUAUUCUAAGGGAGUAAGUAAAUUCAUGCUCUUGUACCUUCCAAGAAAAAUCCUUCACCACUUGUGUACUAGUUAACUGUUGUCCAUUAGCCACUUUGACUAGCAAUGGUGAAUCUGUAUCAAUGUUGCAGCCCAAUAAGAUAGCUGUACUCUCUCUAAUAAAGCUAAGAGAACUACCAGUAUCCAGCAAAAUUUGAAGUUUAUGGCCGUUAGACUCCCCCAUGACUCUCAUGGACUUGGAUCCAGUGCUCCCAGAUAGAGCAUUGACUGAGACUUCAGAUUCUUCCAUAGGUUCCUUCUCAACAGGUAACUCCACAUACUCUGGAUCAUGUUGUAUUUGAGAUAGCUCUUGCUCCUCUGACAUCUAUAUGUAGAAAACCUUGGGUUUGCAUUUAUGACCAUAGACAUAAGGGUCAUCACAGUUAUAGCAAAGCCCCCUUCUCCCUCCUUGCAGCCAUCUCUGCACUAGUGAGGAGUUUAACUGGAACUCUUGGAACAUAUGGGGGUGCUGGUUUAUUGGGAGACCGCUCCUUCAGUUUUCUUAUACGGCUGAACAGGAUUUGUAUAAACUUUUGGAGCAGUUUUCACCCUUUUUGCCAAAGCAUCUAGAGUUAGCACCUGCUUUUGACCCACAUAAAUGGCAUCUUGUAGAGUUUGUGGUUUGAAAAGCAUUAGAAAACUCUGCAUAUCAUAUGAUAACCCACUAAUAAAACUGGCUACAAAGUACUCCUCAGAAUAAGACAUGUGACUACUCAGCAGCAAACAAGACCUCAACUCCUCAAACUUCUCAACAUAUUGAUCAUAUGACCCUGUUUGUUUAAGAUUCUUAAAUUCCAUAAUGAUUUUCACAUCACUUAUGUCAUCAAAACGAGCAGCAACAACCUCUAGAAACUGUUCCCAGCUAAUAUCCAGAAUAUUUUCAUACCCAAAAUUUUGAAACCAUUGAAGAGCCUUCCCCUCAAAAUUAUGAAUAGCCAGCUGUAUCAUAUGUUCAUCACUAAUAGCGGAUGUGAGCUUAAAGUAUGUGUUACACUUGAUAAUCCAAGAUCUAGGAUUAGAUCCAUCAAACUUUGGAAAAUCCACCCUAUGAAACGAGUUUCCUUGGCUAUUUUGUGACUGCUCAGAUUUAAAUUUAGAUGAGUAAGCUGAAGAAUUAGACUUAAACCCCUUACCAGAUUGGAAAUUCGAUGGAGUUUUUCCCAAAAUAGAUGAGUCAGAUUUGCCAGUAUCUUUGCCCAUAUUAAUCAAUUGCAGCUGGAUUUCGGCCAAAAGUGUAGAUAGAUGAUCACACUUUUGAUCGAUACUCUUCAUCUUAUGGUCCACCUUUUGAUCAACAGUUGAAAUUAGCUCAUGGAUUUUUUCUUCAGCUGCUUUUCUCUUCAUGGUUUCUGUUUGCAAAAUCUGAUCUAGCUUCUUUUGUGCAUCCUGCAGAUCCUUAAAUCGAGUCGCCUCCGCCAUAAUUUUCCUGCCCAGAAUUUGCUCGAGAUGCAAAGACUUGGCUCUAGAUACCAAUUGUAGUGUGCCCAGAUGUUUAAUAUGAGUAUUUAGAUAUGAGAUUGAGAUUUGGAUGUAAAUUCGAAGAGGAAGGGAAGAAGGAAGCAAAAGAGAGGAGGAAGUUGAUAACUUUCAUUUCAUGCCUUUUACUUGAAUAACAAGAGACCUUAUAUCAGUGGUCCCAACCGCAACAAACACAAAUCUCAAAAUAACUAAAACAACAUUUGUAAAAUUAAAAGGAAAGAUAAACGCAUUUUCUUAAGAAAUGCGAUUUCAUGCCCAACAAUCCCUUAGCCACUUUUACGGUUGCUCUCAACUCCAUUCUCUUCCUCCACACCUCCUUUCUCCCCUAAAUCCGUGACAAUACCCCCCGGCGAAGGAUAUCCUUGUCCACAAGGAUCAAAUAGUGGAAAUUUCCGGCGAAGGUAAGACAGAUCCUCCCAAGUAGCGAGAGCUGAAUCUUGGUUAACCCACUGCACCAGAACUUGGGUAACCGGCGAACCGCGGCGAGAAACAGUGCGGGAUUCCAAAACAGAUAAAGGUGCCACCUUGCAACACCCAUCAUCAUCAAGAUCAGGAAGCAGCGAG